AAUCUUCCACAAUGGGCGAAAGCCUGACGCAGCCAUGCCGCGUAAAUGAUGACGGUCUUAGGAUUGUAAAAUUCUUUCACCGGGGACGAUAAUGACGGUACCCGGAGAAGAAGCCCCGGCUAACUUCGUGCCAGCAGCCGCGGUAAUACGAAGGGGGCUAGCGUUGCUCGGAAUUACUGGGCGUAAAGGGCGCGUAGGCGGAUUGUUAAGGCAGGGGUGAAAUCCCGGGGCGCAACCUCGGAACUGCCCUUGAUACUGGCGAUCUUGAGUAUGAGAGAGGUAUGUGGAACACCGAGUGUAGAGGUGAAAUUCGUAGAUAUUCGGAAGAACACCAGUGGCGAAGGCGACAUACUGGCUCAUUACUGACGCUGAGGCGCGAAAGCGUGGGGAGCAAACA
rnacentral:rRNA from 1 species